rnacentral:rRNA from 1 species
CCUACGGGAGGCAGCAGUGGGGAAUAUUGGGCAAUGGGCGCAAGCCUGACCCAGCAACGCCGCGUGAAGGAAGAAGGCCCUCGGGUUGUAAACUUCUGUUAUACGGGACGAACCAAAUGACGGUACAGAAAGAAUAAGCUACGGCUAACUACGUGCCAGCAGCCGCGGUAAUACGUAGGUGGCAAGCGUGAUCCGGAUUUACUGGGGGAAAAGGGCGUGAAGGCGGGGGAGAAAGGCAGACGUGAAAGUCCAGGGCGCAACCCGGGGACUGCGUUUGAAACUGUUCUGCUUGAGUGAUGGAGGGGCAAGCGGAAUUCCGUGUGUAGCGGUGAAAUGCGUAGAUAUACGGAGGAACACCAGUGGCGAAGGCGGCCUACUGGACAUUAACUGACGCUGAGGCGCGAAGGCGUGGGGAGCAAACAGGAUUAGAUACCCCAGUAGUC